AUGACUCUUCCAGUGCGGUUGCCUCUAGCUAUGCGCUCGCGACCGAACAUCUAUUUCUACCUCCAGCAGUUCAUUGGGCCGCCUGUUGCUGAUCCUAGCCCACGCGUGCACUUGCCUAAAAUCUCUCCUCUAUACACUCCCUUACGAUUACCCAUCUCUCCCCUAUCGCUGUCACCCUCCGAUCCUCUGCAUCUUCUUCAAAGACAGGCGAGAAACACUGGGGACAUGAGACAAAACACACAAAGGACGAGAAAAAGAAGCUCUGGUCGAGCACAUUCAGGCAAAUGCAGAUUCUGGCGGCAGCAGAGAAAAUUUAAAAAAAAUGAAAAGGCUCUGCUGGAGCAAAACAUAGUUCCCAGAUUAGUGUUAUCUAAUUGCCACAUUAUUUGUUAUCAAGUUGUCAUAUUAGUUGUCAGAUUAGUUCCCAAUCUUUCCGUCCCAGCUCCCGCCCUGUUCCCAGAUUAG
rnacentral:rRNA from 1 species